rnacentral:lncRNA from 1 species
AGAAAAUAAGGAAAUAUAAAAACGAUAAAAAGAAAUCACUUGUAUUUCCCAUUCCCUCAAGAUAAUAAAUGUUAGUAUUUUGGUGUUUUUCCUUCCCCUAUUUUUCUUUGGGAACACAGUUGCAAUCAUAACAUAUAUACAGUCUGUGAUCUGCUUUUGUUUUACUUGCUACAGAACUACUUUUCAUAUUAAUAAAAAAAUUAAUAUCCAUUAAGUAUAUUUAUCAUAAUAUGAUUAAAUUAGCCCUCAGGUAAGUAUUUAGACUUUGACCAGUGUUUAUUUUGUUCAUCUGCACAGUCUCCUAAAACAGUGCCUAAAAAAUGUCCAACAUUCAGCAGGAGAAUGUGGAAAUCUCAAGAGGGAUCUAGAUCUCUGGCUCAAAAGUGAAAUCACCUGUGAGGACUCAGGAAUCUAUGCAGCACCUCUUUAUAGGCAGAUGAGGUGGAAAGCUCAGCAGACUUGUGCGGUCCCUGGGGCCUGGGAAUCGUAAGCUGGCACACCUGGCCGACCCAGGAGGCCGCUCCUGGGCCUGCUUCAUUUUUCUUGGCCUGCAACAGCCACCGUGGCUGACAGCACACAGCGGACCCGAGCAGGCUGACCAGGGGCUCAGCCUUUGCCUGGCACCUAAUACAGUGGGACCCGACAGGCUCGAAUGCUGGUUGGAUGAGCCUGAGCCAAAAACACCAGAACAGAGGCGAUGUGAGGCAGCUCGGGAACCACUGCCAAACCACACCAUUCAAGAGGAAACGCAAGACAGUGCUGGGAUGGAUACUUUUAAAUGCAGGGGCUGGCUGCUCCCUGAGAAAGUAGAGCGAGGUAGGGCGGGGAUACAGAGUGACGCGGGAGAAACAUUUCAGCGGCCUACAGGAACAAAUGGGAGCCCUGUGUCUGGGGUGUUCUCUACUCCCAGAGUGAAAACAUACCAGCUUAUUAACUUCCUCAAUUGGUCGAGUGGCCACCGCAGCCCAGCCCCCUGGGCCGAUGCAGUAGACUCCAGCUGUCUAAUCCUCUGCUCGUUCCUGUUUGAGACACAGUCUGUGCACUCCUGGCCAAAGCCCAGCAGGGUGAGAAUCACUGAAGGGGCCUUCCACCUCCAGGCCAGACUCGACAGGGCUCCCCAGCCCUCUUGCUGCAAACAUAAUGGCUUCUGUACUUGCCAGCCUCGUGCUGCAGCAUAAAUCCUCAGCUUUUGUCUGUGUUUAAUCACCACCCUGGGAAGUGCUAUCGAAGUGCAACUGUUUCUGGCUAGGAGUGCAGCUCCCAGGCCCUGCCGCUGCCCACCCAAGAUCAAAGUGCCUAACACAGGAUUCUUAGGGUAAUGCUGGCCGUCUGUGUUAAAUGGCCACUGAAAGCAUGGGGUCACGCAAGCUGGGAACCCCCAAUCACACACUGACCACGGAGCCGGCUCUGACACAUAGGGCAGCCUUAAGUUCCCUGGGGACUGAAUUCAUACACCCUUUCAGCUACUACCCAAUUGUGUCUCGCUAAAGCUAUUUUUAAAGUAUCUAGAAGGAAGGAUGGAAGGAAAGCAGAUGGGCCUCUCACCUGUCCAGGGGUUUCCAGGGUCAGAGUGUGGAGGAAAGGCCUGUUGAAGGGAGAAGGUAGGGAGGGGGCCGGGACAGGAACAGAAAGGGGUGUCCCCUCUGCUCAAAGGCAAGAACUGUGAAAGGUCAUUCUUCUAGAAAGGCACAAACAUCAGCCCAAGCCCUGAAAAGAAGUAGGGCACAGUAAAAUGCACAUAGAACUGAAGCACUCACUAAAAGGGAGAAAAAGACAUCACAUCAUUUGUAACAGUUUUACUGCAUUACAUAUAACAUUUUCUGCAUUAAAAGGCGUUGGUGAUUUCUCUUUAAAGCAGAUCCCAAAGUAGACAAGAAGAGACGGGUUAAGUGGCACACCUACAUGUUAAAAUUCAAUGUCCAUUGCUAUGGAAUCAUAACCUGGCUUGGUUCCACUAGAAAUGCUAACCGGA